AAACUGCUUUUCAGCUCUAAUGCUACUUUGUCGUAUCUGUUACCGUUUCUGUCGAAUGGUUUGAUAGAAUUUCACAGCAGUUUUCCUAUCGACUGAUUUGGUAAAAUCUCACAGCUGUGGGCGGAAUUUGACAAAUGUCCCAGCAUCUAAAUGUGGGCUGUAACAAUAGAAAAUAUUAGGACUACCAUUUGCCGAAUGAGGCAAAAGAAAAGAAAAAAUACUUGGAUGUUGUCACUUUACAUUUCUCUGUAAGUCCGGUAAUCUUUUACGAGAAAUAAUACAUUUGCAACGGGAAACAGCACUCUUAGAAACCUGCAAACAGUCACUGAAAUUAUUCCAAAUUUAAAGAAGGGUCAACGGAUGCUCUUCUACCUACAGCGACGGUGUCUUGUUGGACGAAGCAAAACUGAAGGGGAUGUAAUAUCAAAUUGGAUUGCCUACA